UUAUUGAUAAUAAUUUUAAGUCAGGCCUGCCCAUUGAAUAAAUAAUUUUAAAGGCCGCGGUAUUUUGACCGUGCAAAGGUAGCAUAAUCAUUAGUUUUUUAAUUGAAAGCUGGAAUGAAGGGUUGAAUAAAAAAAAAACUGUCUCAUUAAUAAAAUUUGAAAUUUAUUUUUAAGUUAAAAAGCUUAAAUAUAAUUAAAAGACGAGAAGACCCUUUAGAGUUUUAUUUUUAAAAAUUAAAUUAAUAUUUGGCAUUUAAAAUUAUAAAUUUUAUUUUUAAGAAUUUAAUUGGGGUGAUUGAAAAAUUUAAUAAACUUUUUUUAUUUUUUUACAAUAAUAAUUGAAUUAUUGAUCCAUAAUUUAUGAUUAUAAGAUUAAAUUACCUAAGGGAUAACAGCGUAAUUUUUUUUAAAGUUCUUAUUAAAAAAAAAGUUUGCGACCUCGAUGUUGGAUUAAAGGAAAUUUAUAGGUGUAGAAGCUGUAAAUUUAAGUCUGUUCRACUUUUGAAACUUUACA
rnacentral:rRNA from 1 species